UACAGAGGGGGCAAGCGUUGUUCGGAAUUACUGGGCGUAAAGGGCGCGUAGGCGGCCACCGCAAGUCGACUGUGAAAUCUCCGGGCUUAACCCGGAAAGGUCAGCCGAUACUGCGGGGCUAGAGUGCAGAAGGGGCAACUGGAAUUCUCGGUGUAGCGGUGAAAUGCGUAGAUAUCGAGAGGAACACCUGCGGCGAAGGCGGGUUGCUGGGCUGACACUGACGCUGAUGCGCGAAAGCCAGGGGAGCGAACGGG
rnacentral:rRNA from 1 species